UUACGGGAGGCAGCAGUAAGGAAUAUUGGUCAAUGGACGCAAGUCUGAACCAGCCAUGCCGCGUGAGGGAUGAAGGCCCUCUGGGUUGUAAACUUCUUUUAUCUGGGACGAAAAAAGGGAAUUCUUUCCCACUUGACGGUACCAGAGGAAUAAGCACCGGCUAACUCCGUGCCAGCAGCCGCGGUAAUACGGAGGGUGCAAGCGUUAUCCGGAUUUACUGGGUUUAAAGGGUGCGUAGGUGGGUAGGUAAGUCAGUGGUGAAAUCUCCGAGCUUAACUCGGAAACUGCCAUUGAUACUAUCUAUCUUGAAUAUCCUGGAGGUGAGCGGAAUAUGUCAUGUAGCGGUGAAAUGCUUAGAUAUGACAUAGAACACCAAUUGCGAAGGCAGCUCACUACGGGAUUAUUGACACUGAGGCACGAAAGCGUGGGGAUCAAACAGGAUUAGAUACCCCGGUAGU
rnacentral:rRNA from 1 species